GACGAACGCUGGCGGCGUGCUUAACACAUGCAAGUCGAGCGGUAAGGCCCUUUCGGGGGUACACGAGCGGCGAACGGGUGAGUAACACGUGGGUGACCUGCCCUCAGCUCUGGGAUAAGCCUGGGAAACUGGGUCUAAUACCGGAUAUGACUCCAUGACGCAUGUUGUGGGGUGGAAAGCCUUGUGCGGCUGAGGAUGGGCCCGCGGCCUAUCAGCUUGUUGGUGGGGUGANGGCCUACCAAGGCGACGACGGGUAGCCGGCCUGAGAGGGCGACCGGCCACACUGGGACUGAGACACGGCCCAGACUCCUACGGGAGGCGGCAGUGGGGAAUCUUGCGCAAUGGGCGAAAGCCUGACGCAGCGACGCCGCGUGA
rnacentral:rRNA from 1 species